GCUACUGUCUCUUAAUGGUCACCUGCCAUAUGCCAGGAUUGGAGAAGCAACCACCUGAAAAAUCAUUAUGGAUAAUCUCUCCUUCAGCAAACCCAAGAAUAUUUGGGUGCUCACUCUUUCAGAAGGUUGGGUGGUCUGGUUCCAAGAGCCUGGCAGAGCAGGAACUGUUCCUGUACUUUCACUUUUACCCUCAUGUAUUUGCCAUUUGAAAUGGAGAAAAUGUGAGUACAUUAAUAAGUUAUUUUCCAUUACCAAGCUUUUAAAAAUUUCUUUAAAUUCCGUUCUUGGCAUGUAAGCUGCUUGGCAUGUAGAAAUUAUUCUAUACUCCUAUAGAGUUGAAUCCAUUGUAUUGAUAAAGUAUUUCAAUGACAGCUUGGUGAAAAUUUUAUGAUUCUGACUUACUGGUGAAUAAAAACUCAAUGAAAGGUUAAAUGGAAAGCCCCAAUGUUAAAAAAGUGAAUUUCUCUUGCUGUGAUUCAACUGUUUGCUUUAGAAGCACUUAAAGUUCCUGCAGAAUCUCUUGCUAUCUCUUCUGAACAAAUCCUACUUGUUUCUUCCACGUGAGAGGUUGAUGUAACCAACGGAAUUGAAGGAAAAUGGCAUGGUACAAAUUAGUACAGACUACAUGCCUGCAAGUUCUUUUGUGUUUGCAAGUGGGUAGAAUAUAUAUGACAUUUUCUUUCUUUUUCAAACAUAAAGAAUGCAAAGUACUCUGAAUAUUUGAAUACAAAUCAAGAUACUUACACACCUCAAUCUGCAAAUUUUCCCUUCUUGUCAGCCCUCUCUCCCCUCCCCCACAAUGCACACAUGUAUGCUCCCUUGUGAUGUUUGGUUCUUGGAAGUUUACCAAAAACAGAAGCUGAAUGGAGAGUGUUUCCUCUACUCUCUUCCACUCUAUGUUCUUUUGAUAGUUGUAUUAUAGUUCAAUAAACUUAAGGUGAGAAAAGGUAUUAGAGCCUUAUAUAUUCCUCAAGAGAACAGGUAGAGAAAUUUUAUACUAUAGAACAAUAUUGGAUUAUGUAGUCCUUGAUCCUGUGUAUAAUUGUGUAUCUUCCAAUCAUUAUAGUAAGCAUGGGAAUAAAAUUUUCUG